UACGAAGGGUGCAAGCGUUGCUCGGAAUCAUUGGGCGUAAAGCGCACGUAGGCGGCUUGCCAAGUCGGACGUGAAAUCCCUCGGCUCAACUGAGGAACUGCCUUUGAAACUGUUCGGCUUGAGGCCGGGAGGGGGUAGCGGAAUUCCCAGUGUAGCGGUGAAAUGCGUAGAUAUUGGGAGGAACACCAGUGGCGAAGGCGGCUACCUGGACCGGUUCUGACACUGAGGCGCGAAAGCGUGGGUAGCAAACAGG
rnacentral:rRNA from 1 species